rnacentral:rRNA from 1 species
UACGUAGGGUGCGAGCGUUGUCCGGAAUUACUGGGCGUAAAGAGCUCGUAGGCGGUUUGUCGCGUCUGCUGUGAAAACUCGGGGCUUAACUCCGGGCCUGCAGUGGGUACGGGCAGACUAGAGUGCGGUAGGGGAGACUGGAAUUCCUGGUGUAGCGGUGAAAUGCGUAGAUAUCGGGAGGAACACCUGUGGCGAAAGCGGCGCACUGGACCAUAACUGACGCUGAGGCGCGAAAGCUAGGGGGAGCAAACAGG